rnacentral:rRNA from 1 species
UGCCUGGCGGCCGUAGCGCGGUGGUCCCACCUGACCCCAUGCCGAACUCAGAAGUGAAACGCCGUAGCGCCGAUGGUAGUGUGGGGUCUCCCCAU